rnacentral:rRNA from 1 species
AGUGAACGCUGGCGGUAGGCCUAACACAUGCAAGUCGAACGGCAGCACAGUAAGAGCUUGCUCUUACGGGUGGCGAGUGGCGGACGGGUGAGGAAUACAUCGGAAUCUACUUUUUCGUGGGGGAUAACGUAGGGAAACUUACGCUAAUACCGCAUACGACCUACGGGUGAAAGCAGGGGAUCUUCGGACCUUGCGCGAUUGAAUGAGCCGAUGUCGGAUUAGCUAGUUGGCGGGGUAAGGGCCCACCAAGGCGACGAUCCGUAGCUGGUCUGAGAGGAUGAUCAGCCACACUGGAACUGAGACACGGUCCAAACUCCUACGGGAGGCAGCAGUGGGGAAUAUUGGACAAUGGGCGCAAGCCUGAUCCAGCCAUACCGCGUGGGUGAAGAAGGCCUUCGGGUUGUAAAGCCCUUUUGUUGGGAAAGAAAAGCAGCAGGUUAAUACCCCGCUGUUCUGACGGUACCCAAAGAAUAAGCACCGGCUAACUUCGUG